rnacentral:rRNA from 1 species
GUCUAUGGCUAUACCACCCUGAUGGUACCCAGUCUUGGAAGCUAAACAGUGUGGAGACAAAUUUGGAUGGGAGACUGCCCAGGAAUAUGGGUGCCAUAAGCU